rnacentral:rRNA from 1 species
UGGCGGACGGGUGAGUAACGCGUGGGCAACCUGCCCCAUACAGGGGGAUAACAGCCGGAAACGGCUGCUAAAACCGCAUAAGCGCACAAGGGCCGCAUGGCCUGGUGUGAAAAACUCCGGUGGUAUGGGAUGGGCCCGCGUCUGAUUAGCUAGUUGGCGGGGGAGAGGCCCACCAAGGCGACGAUCAGUAGCCGACCUGAGAGGGUGGCCGGCCACAUUGGGACUGAGACACGGCCCAAACUCCUACGGAAGGCAGCAG